rnacentral:rRNA from 1 species
GAUGAACGCUGGCGGCGUGCCUAAUACAUGCAAGUCGAACGCUUCACUUCGGUGAAGAGUGGCGAACGGGUGCGUAAUACAUAAGUAACCUGGCAUCUGCAGGGGGAUAACUGAUGGAAACGUCAGCUAAGACCGCAUAGGUGUAGAGAUCGCAUGAACUCUAUAUGAAAAGUGCUACGGGACUGGUAGAUGAUGGACUUAUGGCGCAUUAGCUUGUUGGUAGGGUAACGGCCUACCAAGGCGACGAUGCGUAGCCGACCUGAGAGGGUGACCGGCCACACUGGGACUGAGACACGGCCCAGACUCCUACGGGAGGCAGCAGUAGGGAAUUUUCGGCAAUGGGGGAAACCCUGACCGAGCAACGCCGCGUGAAGGAAGAAGUAAUUCGUUAUGUAAACUUCUGUCAUAGAGGAAGAACGGUGGAUAUAGGGAAUGAUAUCCAAGUGACGGUACUCUAUAAGAAAGCCACGGCUAACUACGUG